rnacentral:tRNA from 1 species
GCCUGAGUGGCUCAGUCGGUUGAGCGUCUGACUUCGGCUCGGGUCAUGAUCUCACGGUUCGUGGGUUCGAGCCCCACAUCGGGCU